GACACCACUCGCCCCUCUUCUUCUUCUUCUUCUCUUUGCGCCUCUUCUCCUUAAAAACGGGAGGAGGCGGAGAAGGAGGAGGAGGAGGAGGAGGAGGAGGCGGACUCUUCUUCCUCCGCACGUGAGCUCCUCCAACCACCGAAUGGUCGUGAACGAGAUAGAUAGGAGAUGACUCAUCUGUCCAUCAUCAUGAUUACUUCUGCCAGCGACGUAGCAGCAGCUGUUGACGGCGCGUCGCUCUUUAAGAGAAGCGACACGACUCUUCCUCCACUACCGACCCUCCUCUAGGUGCCGUUUUAAUCAACCCAAUACAGUUCCGGUUGUUUUGCCUCAUCAUCCCGUCGUCGCCGCGAUCUAACGAACGCGAACGCGAGGAGAUGUUGACACCAAAUUACCCCAACUUUCG
rnacentral:misc_RNA from 1 species